rnacentral:rRNA from 1 species
UACGUAGGGUGCAAGCGUUGUCCGGAAUUAUUGGGCGUAAAGAGCUUGUAGGCGGUCUGUCGCGUCUGCUGUGAAAAUCCGGGGCUCAACCCCGGACUGCAGUGGGUACGGGCAGACUAGAGUGUGGUAGGGGAGACUGGAAUUCCUGGUGUAGCGGUGAAAUGCGUAGAUAUCAGGAGGAACACCGAUGGCGAAGGCAGGUCUCUGGGCCACUACUGACGCUGAGAAGCGAAAGCGUGGGGAGCGAACAGG